rnacentral:misc_RNA from 1 species
AACGCACGAGACCUGCGGACCUGCGGAGGGAUCAUUACCGAGUUUACAACUCCCGAACCCAAUGUGAACGUUACCAAACUGUUGCCUCGGCGGGAUCUCUGCCCCGGGUGCGUCGCAGCCCCGGACCAAGGCGCCCGCCGGAGGACCAACCAAAACUCUUUUGUAUACCCCCUCGCGGGUUUUUAUAUCUGAGCCAUCUCGGCGCCUCUCGUAGGCGUUUCGAAAAUGAAUCAAAACUUU